GCCCAUAAUCUAGCCCGUUCACUUAAACAAUCAUCUCUUUUUACUACCCUCCCUAAUAAAAUAAAACAUUCUCAACCUUAAGUAGAUGCGAUCAAAAAAGAACUUGGAGCUAUAUACAUAGUACCGCAAGGGAAAGAUGAAAUAGAAAUUAAAAAAAUCCUCAAAGCACUAAAAAGCAAAGAUUACCACUUGUACCUUUUGCAUCAUGGUCUAACUAGUCUUAUCAGGCAAAAAGAUUUUUAGUCUGAUUUCCCGAAACUAAGUGAGCUACUCCGAGGCAACCUUAGAGUUAACCCGUCUCUGUGGCAAAAGAGUGGGAUGACCUCCGAGUAGAGGCGACACACCUAUCGAACUUAGUGAUAGCUGGUUACUCAAGAAAAGAAUUUUAGUUCACUCUUAAGGGACUUUAUUUCGCAACAUUUAAGCCUACCAUAUUCCUUAAGGCCUAUUCAAUAAGGGUACAGCCUUAUUGAAACAGGAUACAACCUAAUUCUCAGGUUAACGAAUUUUCUAAUAAACAGAAGUUAGUUGGCUUAAGAGCAGCCACCUUUAAAAUAGCGUCAAAGCUUUCUUCCCUGAUCCAUUCCUCAAUUCCUAUAACUUUUCGGAACCCGAUUUUUCUAUUGAGUCAUUCUAUAAUUUUAUAGAAGUGUUUAUGUUAGAACUAGUAACACAGAAUAAUUUCUUUAUAUGUGCGUGUAAAUCAGAUCGAAUAAAUCACUGAUAAUUACCCAGUAGUGAAUACAAUGUAGCAACCUCACUAGAAAACCCUACUAUUUACUCUGUUAACCUAACACAAGAACAUUUAAAAAAGAUUUAAAGACAAAGAAGGAACUCGGCAAAUAUGAAUUCCGCCUGUUUACCAAAAACAUCGCCUUUUGAGCCCUAUAAGAGGUAUUGCCUGCCCAGUGACUAUAUGUUUAACGGCCGUGGUAUUUUGACCACGCAAAGGUAGCGUAAUCACUUGUUUUUUAAAUAAAGACUAGUAUGAAUGGCUUCACGAGAACUCAGCUGUCUCCUUUGUUUAAUCAGUGAAACUGAUCCCCUCGUGCAGAAGCGAGGAUAAUAUCAUAAGACGAGAAGACCCUAUGGAGCUUUAAACCCAAAUCAACAAGUUACUUUCCUUUAGAACUUAAUAUUAAUUUAACUUGCUCGACUAAGGUUUUAGGUUGGGGCGACCAUGGAGAAAAAACAAUCCUCCACGAUGAUUUUUAACUAAGAGCCACAGCUCUAAGUAUUAAGACACUUAACUUACAUUGACCCAUUUUUUGAUCAACGAACCAAGUUACCCUAGGGAUAACAGCGCAAUCCAUUUUAAGAGUCCCUAUCGACAAAUGGGUUUACGACCUCGAUGUUGGAUCAGGGCACCCCAGUGGUGCAACCGCUACUAAAGGUUCGUUUGUUCAACGAUUAAAGCCCUACGUGAUCUGAGUUCAGACCGGAGA
rnacentral:rRNA from 1 species